rnacentral:tRNA from 1 species
CGAGGUGUAGCUCAGAUGGUAGAGUGCUACGUUCGGGACGUAGAAGCCGCUGGUUCAAGUCCAGUCACCUCGACCA